GAGUUUGAUCCUGGCUCAGGGACGAACGCUGGCGGCGCGCUUAACACAUGCAAGUCGAGCGACGAAAGGGCCUUCGGGCCCCUGAAAGCGGCGAACGGGUGAGUAACACGUGGGCAACCCACCCUCGGUUCCGGGAUAGCCCGGGGAAACCCGGAUUAAUACCGGAUGGCCUCUCCGGUCUGCGGAUUGGUGAGAAAAGGUAGCUUCAGCCUCCGACCGAGGACGGGCCCGCGGCCGAUUAGCUUGUUGGUGGGGUAACGGCCCACCAAGGCGACGAUCGGUAGCUGGUCUGAGAGGACGAUCAGCCACACUGGGACUGAGACACGGCCCAGACUCCUACGGGAGGCAGCAGUGGGGAAUCUUGCGCAAUGGGCGAAAGCCUGACGCAGCGACGCCGCGUGCGGGAAGAAGGCCUUCGGGUUGUAAACCGCUUUCAGGAGGGACGAAGCCACUCGGGUGAACAGCCCAGAGGGUGACGGUACCUCCAGAAGAAGCCCCGGCUAACUACGUGCCAGCAGCCGCGGUAAUACGUAGGGGGCCAGCGUUGUCCGGAUUCAUUGGGCGUAAAGCGCGUGUAGGCGGCCAGGUAGGUCCGACGUGAAAACUGGAGGCUCAACCUCCAGCUGUCGUCGGAAACCCUCUGGCUAGAGUCCGGAAGAGGAGAGUGGAAUUCCUGGUGUAGCGGUGAAAUGCGCAGAUAUCAGGAAGAACACCGAUGGCGAAGGCAGCUCUCUGGGACGGGUACUGACGCUGAGACGCGAAAGCGUGGGGAGCGAACAGGAUUAGAUACCCUGGUAGUCCACGCCGUAAACGAUGGGGCGCUAGUGUGGGCGGUGUCGACUCCGUCCGUGCACCAGGUUUCUCUGCUCUCUCCCCAUGUGCCUCCUUGGUAUGCUAAAAUUCCAAGGGAAUUGCCGACUCGCGCUCAACCAGCCGAGCAUGUGGUCUAAUUCGACCCAACGCGAAGAUCCUUACCAGGACUUGAGAUGUACGGGAAAAUCGUGGAAACACGGUAAAGCGCAAGGGCCCGUGUACAGGUGGUGCAUGGCUGUCGUCAGCUCGUGUUGUGAGAUGUUGGGUUAAGUCUCGCAAAGAGCGCAACCCCUGUGACAUGUUGCCAGCGGAUUAUGGCGGGGAUUCAUGGGAGACUGCCGGUGACAAAACGGAGGAAGGUGGGGAUGACGUCAAGUCAUCAUGCCCUUUAUGCUGUGGGAUACACACGUGUUACAUUGGCCGGUACAGAGGGCUGCAAGCCCGUGAGGGGGAGCGAAUCCCAAAAAAACGGUCUCGGUUCGGAUUGGAGGCUGAAACUGGCCUCCAUGAAGGCGGAGUUGCUAGUAAUCGCGGAUCAGCAUUGCCGCGGUGAAUACGUUCCCGGGCCUUGUACACACCGCCCGUCACACCACGAAAGCCGGCAACACCCGAAGCCGGUGGCCUAACCCGCAAGGGAGGGAGCCGUCGAAGGUGGGGUUGGUGAUUGGGGUGAAGUCGUAACAAGGUAGCCGUAGCGGAAGCUGCGGCUGGAUCACCUCCUUUCU
rnacentral:rRNA from 1 species